rnacentral:rRNA from 1 species
GACGAACGCUGGCGGCGUGCUUAACACAUGCAAGUCGAACGGAAAGGCCCUGCUUUUGUGGGGUGCUCGAGUGGCGAACGGGUGAGUAACACGUGAGUAACCUGCCCUUGACUUUGGGAUAACUUCAAGAAACUGGGGCUAAUACCGGAUAGGAGCUCCUGCUGCAUGGUGGGGGUUGGAAAGUUUCGGCGGUUGGGGAUGGACUCGCGGCUUAUCAGCUUGUUGGUGGGGUAGUGGCUUGCCAAGGCUUUGACGGGUAGCCGGCCUGAGAGGGUGACCGGCCACAUUGGGACUGAGAUACGGCCCAGACUCCUACGGGAGGCAGCAGUGGGGAAUAUUGCACAAUGGGCGGAAGCCUGAUGCAGCAACGCCGCGUGCGGGAUGACGGCCUUCGGGUUGUAAACCGCUUUCGCCUGUGACGAAGCGUGAGUGACGGUAAUGGGUAAAGAAGCACCGGCUAACUACGUG